rnacentral:rRNA from 1 species
GUAGGUGGCAAGCGUUGUCCGGAAUUAUUGGGCGUAAAGCGCGCGCAGGCGGUUCUUUAAGUCUGAUGUGAAAGCCCACGGCUCAACCGUGGAGGGUCAUUGGAAACUGGAGAACUUGAGUACAGAAGAGGAAAGCGGAAUUCCACGUGUAGCGGUGAAAUGCGUAGAGAUGUGGAGGAACACCAGUGGCGAAGGCGGCUUUCUGGUCUGUAACUGACGCUGAGGCGCGAAAGCGUGGGGAGCAAACAGGAUUAGAUACCCUGGUAGUCCACGCCGUAAACGAUGAGUGCUAAGUGUUAGGGGGUUUCCGCCCCCCUUAGUGCUGCAGCUAACGCAUUAAGCACUCCGCCUGGGAGUACCGGCGCAAGGCUG